CAGCCAUGUAAGAUGUGCCUGGUUCUCCUUCACCUUCCGCCAUGAUUGAAAGUUUCCUAAGGCCUCCCCAACCUGUACAGCCUGCAGAACUAUAAGCGCAUGAGCACAUGAUUUGGUUUUGUUAGUUUAAAAGAGGAUUGACUUUGAAGUUCAGGCUCGAUGCUCCUGAAAAUUGAUGAAUUAGGUCUCGGAUUUCACCAUGUCCAACAAGCCUUCCCUGACCUUUCUUCCAAACUGAUUUUCUGCUGUAUGGCAGUAGCCCCAUCUUUCCGUUUUUUAAGACUAUGCAUAGACAUCAUCGCCCUUGCUACUCUGAACUAUAAUUGGCUCCUCACUGUUUCUCAUGCAAUUGGGAACACAUUCCUCGUGGGUAUGUACCAGGUUUCAAGACCUGUGGUGUAUCCUGAACCUAGCACAUGGAGCUGCUUGAUCAAUACAGUUGAAUGAAAUGAAGGAAUGAAUAUAAGAAAAAGUUUUUCUAAAUAAGAUGAUAGGGCAGGAUUCAUUUUUGUCUUUGUAGUUCUCAGCUUUCUCCUAUGUUCAGUCAAGUAUUCCAUCUUGAAAUAGCUGAAUUUAAUUAAACUAACAACUCCAUGUAAGAUCUUAGCAGGAUAACAAAAAUCAUGGUUUGAGGGCAAAACCUUAAAUUCAAAGGUGAAUGAAGCUUUGAUGAUGGUUAGGAUACAUCUGCCUUUAAAAAUUGGGUUACCUGCUCUGUCUGGUAAAUUUGAGGCAGACAUAACUGUUCUUCUUCUGUACCAACAUCCCCAAACACCCUGACCUGUUAAAAAAAAAAAAAAAGUGAAGUUUCUCAUUUGCAGCAGGGACUAGAGCACAGGAAUGCAAGAGGAAUAGAAAUGGGAAGUCUGGAAAAGGCAAAAUCUCCUUUGAAGAAUGUCCAGAUCUCCUUCCCAGACCCACUGCUGACCUGGGAUAAGUUCCCAAUCAUUCCCUGAAAUUAAAAAAUGUAGUCUUCUUGUUCCUUAAAGAGAGAUGCUCCUUCUCCAACCCUGAAGAUGUGACACAGGACCAAAGUUAUUUUCCUACCUGACGUAGAAGCCUGAGGCCUGGCAGAGCCUGCUUCUGUGCCUCUGAGAGUCCAGUUCCUCUGAAUCUGACUCAGAAAGCAGCCUUAUUUUAACUAGCCAGGCCAGCCUAUCCUCUCACUUUCUCCCUACCUAAUAGAACCCUGUCUGGGGAAGGAGUAGCCAUAUAUCUAUCUGAUGUGUGAAAAUAAUGAAACAAAGAAAAAUCCUCUAAAUUUCCCAAACUCCUUUGCAGAUAGAAGUAGCCAAGUUUUGGCUGGUGAAAUAGAAGUGGAAGUUGUUGAGAGGAACUUCCUAGAGAAGCUCCUUAAAAAGGGGUUGACUCCCAUGGCAUACUGUUUUGUCCACUGCUCUUCUCAUUCUUCUUGUCUGGAGCUUGAACAGGAUGGCUAGAACUCUGGCAGCCAUCUUGAGGCCACUAGACAACCUUUAAAGAUGACUGAACAGAAAUGUAAAAGGAGUCUAAGUCCCUGGUGAAUUGUGAGCUACCAUUCCCACCCUGGACCUCCCAUGUCCACAUUCUUCAUUACCUGAGAAAAAUAAGUUUCCUAAUUUGUUUAAACCUAUGUUUUGGGGGACCUCUUUUACUUGGAGCUUAACACAAUUCUUAACUGAUACAAAGGGCUUUAGUAAAAAACAUACUUAUAUUUAAAAUCUGCUUAGCUCUCAUAUUCAAUCUGUUCCUAUAGUCAUUAGAAAAAAAGUGUUGUGCAAAAGCCAAAAUUGACAAAUGGAUCUAAUUAAACUAAAGAGCUUCUGCACAGCAAAAGAAACUACCACCAGAGUGAACAGGCAGCCUACAGAAUGGGAG
rnacentral:lncRNA from 1 species